GGUUAAGCGACUAAGCGUACACGGUGGAUGCCCUGGCAGUCAGAGGCGAUGAAGGACGUGCUAAUCUGCGAAAAGCGUCGGUAAGGUGAUAUGAACCGUUAUAACCGGCGAUGUCCGAAUGGGGAAACCCAGUGCAAUUCGUUGCACUAUCGUUAACUGAAUACAUAGGUUAACGAGGCGAACCGGGGGAACUGAAACAUCUAAGUACCCCGAGGAAAAGAAAUCAACCGAGAUUCCCCCAGUAGCGGCGAGCGAACGGGGAGCAGCCCAGAGUCUGAAUCAGCUUGUGUGUUAGUGGAACGGUCUGGAAAGUCCGACGGUACAGGGUGAUAGUCCCGUACACCAAAAUGCACAGGUUGUGAACUCGAAGAGUAGGGCGGGACACGUGGUAUCCUGUCUGAAUAUGGGGGGACCAUCCUCCAAGGCUAAAUACUCCUGACUGACCGAUAGUGAACCAGUACCGUGAGGGAAAGGCGAAAAGAACCCCGGCGAGGGGAGUGAAAAAGAACCUGAAACCGUGUACGUACAAGCAGUGGGAGCACCUUCGGGUGUGACUGCGUACCUUUUGUAUAAUGGGUCAGCGACUUAUAUUCUGUAGCAAGGUUAACCGUAUAGGGGAGCCGCAGGGAAACCGAGUCUUAACUGGGCGUUAAGUUGCAGGGUAUAGACCCGAAACCCGGUGAUCUAGCCAUGGGCAGGUUGAAGGUUGGGUAACACUAACUGGAGGACCGAACCGACUAAUGUUGAAAAAUUAGCGGAUGACUUGUGGCUGGGGGUGAAAGGCCAAUCAAACCGGGAGAUAGCUGGUUCUCCCCGAAAGCUAUUUAGGUAGCGCCUCGUGAAUUCAUCUUCGGGGGUAGAGCACUGUUUCGGCUAGGGGGUCAUCCCGACUUACCAACCCGAUGCAAACUACGAAUACCGAAGAAUGUUAUCACGGGAGACACACGGCGGGUGCUAACGUCCGUCGUGAAGAGGGAAACAACCCAGACCGCCAGCUAAGGUCCCAAAGUCAUGGUUAAGUGGGAAACGAUGUGGGAAGGCACAGACAGCCAGGAUGUUGGCUUAGAAGCAGCCAUCAUUUAAAGAAAGCGUAAUAGCUCACUGGUCGAGUCGGCCUGCGCGGAAGAUGUAACGGGGCUAAACCAUGCACCGAAGCUGCGGCAGCGACACUAUGUGUUGUUGGGUAGGGGAGCGUUCUGUAAGCCUGCGAAGGUGACCUGUGAGGGUUGCUGGAGGUAUCAGAAGUGCGAAUGCUGACAUAAGUAACGAUAAAGCGGGUGAAAAGCCCGCUCGCCGGAAGACCAAGGGUUCCUGUCCAACGUUAAUCGGGGCAGGGUGAGUCGACCCCUAAGGCGAGGCCGAAAGGCGUAGUCGAUGGGAAACAGGUUAAUAUUCCUGUACUUGGUGUUACUGCGAAGGGGGGACGGAGAAGGCUAUGUUAGCCGGGCGACGGUUGUCCCGGUUUAAGCAUGUAGGCUGGUUAUCCAGGCAAAUCCGGAUAAUCAAGGCUGAGGUGUGAUGACGAGGCACUACGGUGCUGAAGUAACAAAUGCCCUGCUUCCAGGAAAAGCCUCUAAGCAUCAGGUAACAUCAAAUCGUACCCCAAACCGACACAGGUGGUCAGGUAGAGAAUACCAAGGCGCUUGAGAGAACUCGGGUGAAGGAACUAGGCAAAAUGGUGCCGUAACUUCGGGAGAAGGCACGCUGGUGUGUAGGUGAAGUCCCUGCGGAUGGAGCUGAGACCAGUCGAAGAUACCAGCUGGCUGCAACUGUUUAUUAAAAACACAGCACUGUGCAAACACGAAAGUGGACGUAUACGGUGUGACGCCUGCCCGGUGCCGGAAGGUUAAUUGAUGGGGUUAUCCGUAAGGAGAAGCUCUUGAUCGAAGCCCCGGUAAACGGCGGCCGUAACUAUAACGGUCCUAAGGUAGCGAAAUUCCUUGUCGGGUAAGUUCCGACCUGCACGAAUGGCGUAAUGAUGGCCAGGCUGUCUCCACCCGAGACUCAGUGAAAUUGAACUCGCUGUGAAGAUGCAGUGUACCCGCGGCAAGACGGAAAGACCCCGUGAACCUUUACUAUAGCUUGACACUGAACAUUGAGCCUUGAUGUGUAGGAUAGGUGGGAGGCUUUGAAGCGUGGACGCCAGUCUGCGUGGAGCCAACCUUGAAAUACCACCCUUUAAUGUUUGAUGUUCUAACGUUGGCCCCUGACCGGGGUUGCGGACAGUGUCUGGUGGGUAGUUUGACUGGGGCGGUCUCCUCCCAAAGCGUAACGGAGGAGCACGAAGGUUAGCUAAUCCUGGUCGGACAUCAGGAGGUUAGUGCAAUGGCAUAAGCUAGCUUGACUGCGAGCGUGACGGCGCGAGCAGGUGCGAAAGCAGGUCAUAGUGAUCCGGUGGUUCUGAAUGGAAGGGCCAUCGCUCAACGGAUAAAAGGUACUCCGGGGAUAACAGGCUGAUACCGCCCAAGAGUUCAUAUCGACGGCGGUGUUUGGCACCUCGAUGUCGGCUCAUCACAUCCUGGGGCUGAAGUAGGUCCCAAGGGUAUGGCUGUUCGCCAUUUAAAGUGGUACGCGAGCUGGGUUUAGAACGUCGUGAGACAGUUCGGUCCCUAUCUGCCGUGGGCGCUGGAGAAUUGAGGGGGGCUGCUCCUAGUACGAGAGGACCGGAGUGGACGCAUCACUGGUGUUCGGGUUGUCAUGCCAAUGGCACUGCCCGGUAGCUAAAUGCGGAAGAGAUAAGUGCUGAAAGCAUCUAAGCACGAAACUUGCCCCGAGAUGAGUUCUCCCUGAGACUUUAAGUCUCCUGAAGGAACGUUGAAGACGACGACGUUGAUAGGCCGGGUGUGUAAGCGCAGCGAUGCGUUGAGCUAACCGGUACUAAUGAACCGUGAGGCUUAACCUU
rnacentral:rRNA from 1 species